AUGCGCGAGCUCCCUCGGGGCAGCCUGGCACGCAGGGGUGGUCACCUGGCCGGCAAGGAGGAAGGUCUCGGGGAGGGAGCCGGCUCGCAGGAGUCGGUUCCAGCGUGUUCGAGUUACAGCUGCGAGCCCUCAGGGACACCGGCGGCAAGUCCAGGCUUGCGGAGAGGGGAGCCAGUCCCGGGAGAGCGCAAGUCGCAGCGAGCCCGUGUGCGCGCCUGUGCGCGCGCCCCGCGACGGCGCAGGGGGAGGGGAGGCCGCAGCAGCCACUCAGAGGAACCGUAG